UUGAAGCUUCCAGAAUCAGUUGCUGCCAAAUAAUAGUGGAGGAAAAAUGAUUAAUUAUAUGUUGGAAGGAUGUGAUGAUUUAACGGUUUAAAGUAUGUGAGAGAUGAAGAAUGUAAACCAAUGACCAUCAAAAUUAUUAGAACCCUGUUAAAUAUUGAAUUGCUCCACUGUUAUACAUUUGGAUUUGCACGCGCAAAUGACGGGAAAGCCAAAUAACACCACAUAAACGGUAAUUGGUGUCUAAAACAAGUCAUUAAUCUCAUGUAAUUUCAAUUCUACGAUAAAAUUCAGUUCUUUGUUUCACAUAUCGCCUAGAUUUAGAAGAUUCGUGCCUUCAAUUACACAUAUAAAGUAGUUCAAUUUUCAAGCGCCGCCCAAGCGAAAACCUCCUUGCAAAUAGUUCAGAUCUUAAACCCAAGUCCCAAAGCAUGUAAUACAAAAAUUAUAAAAUUAGAAUUAACAGAAAGAAGAUACGAAGUCCUAUAUCUCAGUUAUCACUAUAUUAUUCACAAAAGACAGAAAACCAACAAGCAGUCGUAGCAAUCGGAAUUCUGAAAUGUAUAAUGGCAGGAUAACCUACUAAAUCUAAUCACCCUCACGUUUCGUUAUAGCAAGGCGAAUUUUCAGUUCAGCUUCAUUUGAUUCACUAUUGUUUUUGCCUUG
rnacentral:misc_RNA from 1 species